UAUACAGUAGACUGCUUCUUCUAAUCCUUCUUUGACCUCCACAGACAUGGACACUCUACUUGAGAAAGUAUCAGCAAGUUUAUGGAGGAUAACAUUUGAAUGUGGAGAGGGGCGUGGCCAGUGGGCCUUCAGCAGAAUGGGCCUCGAAGACAGCAACAGCAGCAGCCGGAAGGAGAGAAGGCGUGGGAGCUGGAGUGGGAGCGAAAGCGAGACCGAGACCGAGACCGUGUACGAGACCGAGACCGAGACCGACAUGAACUAAGGACAAUCGUUUAAAUUUUACAAUUAUUAAAGCAUUGUGAAAAAAUAUUGCGGAAAAAAGUUAGUUUAAAAAAAAAAAUAGAUGUGUAUGUCAUUGUACAACAAUUAUUCACUAUAGGAGUAUUUUGACCAAAGGUUGACAUUUUACAAAAACAUUUUACAGAAAUGAAAACACUAUCAUAUAAAAACAUCAAUCUAAAAAGUCAAUGGCAGUUUUGCAAAAGGGCGCUUGGAUAUUGACUACAUAAAAAAUAGUAUUUCUACUCAGAUCAGACAUAUUUACAGCUACUAUUACCUACAGUUCUACGGCAACACAACAACUCUCUGUAGAUGUAUGAAACAUCCCUCUAGUCAGGAUUGAUUGAGACUUUUAUCAGUAGGUUGCACAGUGAAGUACAUAUUCCGUACAAUUGACCACUAAAUGGUAACUGACUUGGUAGGACAGCAAGUAGGAGAGAGAGAGAGAGAGAGAGAGAGAGAGAGAGAGAGAGAGAGAGAGAGAGAGAGAGAGAGAGAGAGAGAGAGAGAGAGAGAGAGAGAGAGAGAGAGAGAGAGAGAGAAUAUUACAACAACAUUAAGAACUUUUUGGAACACAUUAACGAACCCUUCAAAGUGAUCGCUGUCACAGAAACAUGGUUUGAUGAUAAAAAAAGAAUAUAUUUUGCAUAAACCCAAGUAAAGAGCCCGUCUUUAAGAA